rnacentral:rRNA from 1 species
CCUACGAGCGGCAGCAGUGAGGAAUAUUGGUCAAUGGGAGGAAUCCUGAACCAGCCAUGCCGCGUGCAGGACGACGGCUCUACGAGUUGUAAACUGCUUUUGUACCGGGGUAAAAUGCUCUACGAGUAGGGGUUUGAAAGUACGGUACGAAUAAGGAUCGGCUAACUCCGUGCCAGCAGCCGCGGUAAUACGGAGGAUCCGAGCGUUAUCCGGAUUCAUUGGGUUUAAAGGGUGCGUAGGUUGUUUUAUAAGUUAGCGGUGAAAUACCGAUGCUCAACAUCGGGGCUGCCGCUGAUACUGUAGGACUAGAGAUCGGAUGCAGCAGGCGGAAUGUGUAGUGUAGCGGUGAAAUGCAUAGAUAUUACACAGAACACCGAUUGCGAAGGCAGCUUGCUAGGCCGGAUCUGACACUGAUGCACGAAAGCGUGGGGAUCGAACAGGAUUAGAUACCCGAGUAGUC